UCACGGGUAGAGCCAAGUGCUUGGAGCCGUGUGUGGUAGCAUUUAGCCAUGAGAGAGAGAGAGAGAGAGAGAGAGAGAGAGAGAGAGAGAGUGUCUUGAAUGUGGCCAUGUAUUUAUAGGGCUUUAGCCAUCUAGAAUUUUUCAAAGAAUAAUUCCUAUUUGAAAGGAUCAUUUCUCCCUAACACAAGAAAGCUCUCGUGGCCCAACACUCCAUCUCAUAUAUUCCGUGUGGCGCCAUCUCUCCUCAGCUGUUUAGCAUCUCUCUUGGUGAGCUUUGAGGUUCUAGGUAUUGAUUUUAACUUUUCUUUUUAGUUUGGGUGUAAGUUAGGUUUGAAUUUGUACCGAUCUAUUAAGUUUUAUAUGGAGGAUGUUUUGAAUUUUUUGGAUGGUUUGCGUCUGAUAAUUUUCAGGUUUUGAUUUGGGGUUAAAAAUUUUGUUUUGGAUGAUUUGGGUCAGAUAAUCUUUGUUCAUGUGCGCAAAGGAUGUUUAAGAAGCUCCUUUGGGGGGGUUUAGAGGUGGCUAAUGCUCUGAUUUUUAGUGUCCAGGCACUCAGAGGACAGGGUUUGACACUUACUAUUCUAGCUUGUAGGAGUACAAAGGUCUUGUCUUCUGCCUUCCUCUCUAGGUCUCUUUUUUUUUUCUUUUUUUUUUUAAAUAAUAAAAUUUUAUUUAUUUAUCUAAAAGUUGAAUGUGGGUGCAGAAGUCUCAAGUAUCUUCUCUGUUUGUAUCUGACAGCCACUUGAGGAGAAUGCCAAGUUAAAACUUGCUCAAUUUGCUGCCUGCGUCCUUUUGCCUUUGGCAAUUUCUCUUCUCUUUUGUCUGUUUUAGUGUUUAAUGGAGCAAAUACCCUUGUUGCUUUGGUGCGUUUACAACAACUGAAAUUAAUAAGUUUCCCUAUUUAUUAUCAUCUUUUUUCCAGUGUUUUUUAAAUUUCCCCUGUUGCUGUAGAAUGAAUAUAAUAACGGUGAGAAGAAUUAUGAACUGUGGGAGUUCCUUUUAAUCACGAUCUGGUAGUUUUGAUGGAUUACCAACUUAUUUUAUUGAUGAUUUGUUAAUGGUGAAACUUUGUGUUAAUUCGUAAGUGUUGUUUGUUAUACAGGGUUCUUUGUUAAGGCUUUUGGAUGAAUGUAGCUGCCGUUUUGUAUUUUUAUCUUUAUGUGCAUUUUUAUCAUGGGUUGUAACCAUAAGUAUAAUUUGGAUUUCUUGCUUUAUGUUUCUUUGGUUCUAUAAUGGUUUGCAAAAUGUUUUAUUUCCUUGGUCGGUUGAUGAUUGUAAUUUGUAUUAAUUUGUGAUUGAUUUAGCUAUAAACAUUUAGACUA